CUAGGCGCUUGUCGACACCGUAGGGGCAGGCUGUAAUCUCAUUAGACAAGCAAGCGAGUUAAACACGCUUGGACAGGAUCGACGGAUCGUUGAAAAGAAGAGUUCACGAAAUGACAAAACUGAAGAUUCUUAUAACUUACUGUGGUGCCUGAGGGUACCGUGGGAAGUUCAACAAGCUCAAACAAGAGCUUGAUGGACUCUUCCCAGGUCUUCUAGAUAUUACAGGAGAAGGUACUCCUGGUGUCACUGGCUACUUUGAAGUAGGAAUUGAGAAUGGCAAACUCCUUCACUCAAAGAAAAAUGGAAGUGGCUUUGUGGACACUCCUGCCAAGAUGCAGACCAUUGUUGAUGGUAUUAAACUGGCUUUAGCUGAAUAACUAAUAAAGCCCCACUACUUAAACAUACCAUCUAGCAGGAGAAAAUGUGUUUUACCAGUAAUUUACAAUGACUUGAGUGACAAGGAUGAAGGGGCUGAUUGAAAAACAUUUGUUGAAUCAGUUUCUGAUGGUUUAUUUUGUCUUACUCUUGUUAUUGAAAGAACAUGGUAAAAUACAAAUGAUUGCAUAACUGA